GACGAACCGUCCAAACGUUAUUCGGAAUCACUGGGCUUACAGAGUUCGUAGGCGGUCUGGAAAGUUGGGUGUGAAAUCCCUCGGCUCAACCGAGGAACUGCGCUCAAAACUACCCGACUCGAGGGAGAUAGAGGAAAGCGGAACUGAUGGUGGAGCGGUGAAAUGCGUUGAUAUCAUCAGGAAUACCGGUGGCGAAGGCGGCUUUCUGGGUCUUACCUGACGCUGAGGAACGAAAGCCAGGGGAGCGAACGGG
rnacentral:rRNA from 1 species